rnacentral:rRNA from 1 species
GAUGUACGCUGGCGGCGUGCCUAAUACAUGCAAGUCGAGCGAACAGACGAGGAGCUUGCUCCUCUGACGUUAGCGGCGGACGGGUGAGUAACACGUGGAUAACCUACCUAUAAGACUGGGAUAACUUCGGGAAACCGGAGCUAAUACCGGAUAAUAUAUUGAACCGCAUGGUUCAAUAGUGAAAGACGGUUUUGCUGUCACUUAUAGAUGGAUCCGCGCCGCAUUAGCUAGUUGGUAAGGUAACGGCUUACCAAGGCAACGAUGCGUAGCCGUCCUGAGAGGGUGAUCGGCCACACUGGAACUGAGACACGGUCCAGACUCCUACGGGAGGCAGCAGUAGGGAAUCUUCCGCAAUGGGCGAAAGCCUGACGGAGCAACGCCGCGUGAGUGAUGAAGGUCUUCGGAUCGUAAAACUCUGUUAUUAGGGAAGAACAAAUGUGUAAGUAACUAUGCACGUCUUGACGGUACCUAAUCAGAAAGCCACGGCUAACUACGUG